CGUGUAGGCGGUUUGUUAAGUCUGGCGUGAAAGCUCUCGGCUAAACCGGGAGAGGUCGUUGGAUACUGGCGAACUAGAGGAUGGUAGAGGCGUGUGGAAUUCCGGGUGUAGUGGUGAAAUGCGUAGAGAUCCGGAGGAACACCAGUGGCGAAGGCGACACGCUGGGCCAUACCUGACGCUAAAGCGCGACAGCAUGGGGAGCAAACG
rnacentral:rRNA from 1 species